CAGCUCAGAGGCCAAACUAUAUGGCAGAAACUAUGUCAGGAUCAUCUCGAUAACAGGUUUCUCAUGCUUAUGGAUAAAAAUAAGAGCAAUCUUUCAUCUCAGUCCUUUGACUCACCUCCCAAGUCGCCUUUCAAAGACUUCCCUGAAGCUGGACAGAGGCCUGGUGGGAGGAAAAGGAAACUGAUUUUGAUAAAAGGUCUUCUCUAACACUGUGCAAGUGAAAAGGAGGUGCAUCUAAAUACUGUCAGGUAGAGAUGGAAGUCCAAUUCCUCUGUCAGUCUCUGUUGUCACUCCAGUGAGCAGAGUCACCUCAUUGCUGUGAAGGUGUUGAACUUCUGGUUCCCCAACAGGCCUCUGCUGACACCAUCUAGCAGUAGGGGAAGGGAUGCCUCAUUAUCACUCAAAAGAGUGGAAGUCUAGGUUUAUCAUGUUCUGGCUACUGAUAGGAGACUGUUAACACCUGAAAGAUUUGGAAGCCCAGGCUCCCUACUUGACUUCUCUGAUAUCAUCCCAGGGCAGAGUGGUGUGUGUGUGUGUGUGUGUGUGUGUGUGUGUGUGUGUGUGAGUGAGUGAGGGGCGUGCCAAUUAUAGCAGGGUGAUAAGGAGUAAAUCUAGGCUUCCCUUGUAGCCUCUGAUGAUGUGUGUAGGUCCAGUUUUUCCCAUGGUGUUAGGCUGGAGUAGGGCAGUUAUUGUCUCAAAAUAUUCUGUCUUACUAGGUUUCCCCUCUCCUGGUCCUUUGGCUGGACAAAGCAGAUAUUUUUUAGUGCUUUUUGUUUGCAUUUAUUAGUGUUUCUAGAUUGUAGGCUUCUCUAACACCCAGUGUAGGCAUGUGAGGCAAAAAGAAAACAUAGAGAACUUCCUUCUCUGUUAUUCCUUGGGUCUCAAAGUCUGUAGCUAAUUUCUUCUCUUCUCUUCUCCGAGUCGUCUCCCUGUAUUUCAGAGUUUUUAGUUGUACUUAGCAGUAGGAAUAGGGACAAGUAUAUCUACUACAUGUUAUCCAGAACUGGAAGCCCUAUAAAUGCCCUUUUAAAUGUUUCUUUUUGUAUAUGUUUUAUACCAGUCAUAUAACAUUAAUAUAAUAAUACAUACAUUAAAUUACAAAAAAACCCAUACAAACAUAUAUGUCAAAAUGCUCAAUUUUAUUAUUUUUUUUAUAAUGGGGUGCAUACUCAAAUGCAGAUUGCAGACCACUGGUGUAAUCACAACAGUGUAAACUCAUUUCUUGGAUUGCCACUUCUACUAACUUGUGUGAUUUGGAGCAUUUUCUUUUUCACCUCUAGCAUGAAACAAUUUAGUAAGAUGAUCUUUAAUAACACAUCUACCUCUAAUAUUCGGCAAAUAAUAACAGGUAGUAUUCCUUCCAAAAUAUAAAAUACCUCAUGAAAAUUGUUUCCUUUACUUAUGGUUUCUUUAAAGCAUUUUUUAAAUCCUGAAAAAAUAUUCAUUCCCUCAAGCGUAAAAUUUUAUCCAAUUUGUAAUAUAAUAACUUAAUCAAGAUUGAUCUCAUAAAUCUAAUUGUUACUAAAAAACAGCAAAAUAGAUUUGAUUAAAAAGAGUCUAUUCUAAUUUUCAGUGAAUUGUUAAGUUCAGGGUUGCAUUAUCUUAUUAAGUAAUUUAGUAUUUUUCCUUGACAUUUUUCAGUAAUACACUCCUCUCCCACACUUUUUGGAUGGAACUAAAAAGGUCAAAAAUUGGCAAGAGAGGCUAUUGUACUCUGUGCCUACUGGUCUAAAAAAAUAGACCAUUGUCUUUUGUGCUCUGUAUGUAUACAUAAAAUAUGUUCACUCUGCCCUAGCACAUUAUAUGCUACUAUCUUGGUUUGCUAAGUGCUGCCAUAACAAAAUAUUACAGACUAGGUGGCUUAAGUCACAGAAAUUUACUUUCUCCUCGUUCUGGAGACUGGAAGCCCCCCACAGCCAUCCUGGCAGGAUUGGUUUCUCUUAAGGCAUCCUUGGCUUGCAGAUGCCUGUGUCCCUGGUGCCUUUUCCCAUGAUCAUCUCUCUGGGCAUGCAUGCCUCUAGUGGCUUUCCAUGUUCUUUUUAUUUCCUCUUAUUAGGAUACCAUUCAGAUUGGAUUAGGGCCCACCCUAACAGCCUCUUUUUAACUUAACGGCCCCAUCUCCAAAUACAGCCACCUUCUGGGGUACUGGCGGG